UUCAGCACAGAUUUUACGAGCCAGAUGUGGUCGUAUAGACGUGUGAUGCUCCGCUAUUAAUUUAGGCCAGCUGGGGUCUUCCUUGAGACGAACUCCGUGAGGCAUUCGAGUCACCUUUGGGGUGAGUUUGCAUUAAGGGCACUUGUGCCAAGGGGUCUCAACAUUCGUAGCCUGCAGGACAGGAGAAGCAACAGCUCAAGAAAGUCAGGACAAGUAUGACUAUGCUACAGCCUCAGAUAUUGUGAGCAAGUGUUCGCAAGACGCAUUACCUUGGUGAGGUGCCAGGUGAUUGGCCAGGAGUGUUGGUGGGUGAUGCUCUGCGUGGUG